AUCCUCUAUUUUUCGCUACCAGUAACCAUCAUCAGAAUUAAUUCUGUCACUGUGAAGAUACCAGGAACCGAGCCGCGUAGAGGAAAGAUUUCGGUAAUUGUUUAAGAGGUCAUCCCAAAAACUAAUCUGCGUUGGCAACAUCAGAGCAUCCAUACCUGCUAAGCCGCCCGGUAAAGUCCAUUGUUCCGACUGUAAGUAUAUGAACGCUGGCGAAACUCCAUUUUACGUAAGAGUGAGCUUCAUUUUGCGGAGUUCAGCGGCAAUUCCAUUUUGGUAACGACAUUGCAAUUGUAGUGCUAUUGUCCGCGGAAGCAUAAAUGUAUUGUUAAAAGGUACGUCGUACAAUAGGUGAGUUAAAAGAGACCCAGUGACAAACAGUCAGUUCCAUCCGUUUUGACGAAGCGAUAUUCUGGAGCUAGUGAUCCGAUCUGUGGACGAUAGCAAGCAGGUCAAGGAAGUUUGGCGUUGAUGAUCCGAUUGGUGAGCAGCGAACAUUUCGGGUGGAAACGGAAACUGGAAACGUUCGCCUAAUGGCUCAUCGAAAUCAGCUGAGGUUCACUACUGAUAAGACAUCGUCAAAAUCUACUGUAACGCUGUCCCUUCCGAACCGUACAGACAGAUUGCCGGUUGGCAAUAGUGAUGAUCAUCUCAGAACAUCAGCGGAGUCAGUAGUAGAGCCGCCCACAAGGAUCCGUAAGAGGAAAUAUUCUGAUAUUUUGCCUAAUUCUCCUUCUGGAACAAGGCGCUCGAAAAGAAAACGAACGACGAAGGUCGACAACGAUUUCGUUUAUGGUUAAACAGUUUAUAUUAUUAAGUUACAGUUUUAUAGUUGAAAUUUCGAAUGAUUUAUUGAAUUCAUGAUUUGUCAGAAGGGUUUCACUAUUGAAAAAUAUCUGAAAAAUAAGAAAUAGAAAUAUUAGUAGUUACGAUUAUAAAAUAUUAAAUAGAACUUUCCAUUAGGGGAAGAAUUGUGAUGUACUGUCAAAUGACAGUUCUGAUUAUAGAAUCAGAUCAGAAAGAGACGCAAACCUUGCUAUAAAUAUAAGUGUCUCCCUUGGAGAAAGGUUUCAUGCAAUAAAAUAUUGAA